rnacentral:rRNA from 1 species
GACGAACGCUGGCGGCGUGCUUAACACAUGCAAGUCGAACGGAAAGGCCCUGCUUUUGUGGGGUGCUCGAGUGGCGAACGGGUGAGUAACACGUGAGUAACCUGCCCUUGACUUUGGGAUAACUUCAGGAAACUGGGGCUAAUACCGGAUAGCAGCUCCUGCUGCAUGGUGGGGGUUGGAAAGUUUCGGCGGUUGGGGAUGGACUCGCGGCUUAUCAGCUUGUUGGUGGGGUAGUGGCUUACCAAGGCUUUGACGGGUAGCCGGCCUGAGAGGGUGACCGGCCAAAUUGGGACUGAGAUACGGCCCAGACUCCUACGGGAGGCAGCAGUGGGGAAUAUUGCACAAUGGGCGGAAGCCUGAUGCAGCAACGCCGCGUGCGGGAUGACGGCCUUCGGGUUGUAAACCGCAUUCGCCUGUGACGAAGCGUGAGUGACGGUAAUGGGUAAAGAAGCACCGGCUAACUACGUG